rnacentral:rRNA from 1 species
GACGAAGGGGGCUAGCGUUAUUCGGAUUUACUGGGCAUAAAGCGCGCGUAGGCGGCUUGGCAAGUCGGAGGUGAAAGCCUGCAGCUCAACUGCGGUGUGCCUCCGAAACUGCCGAGCUUGAGUGCGGGAGGGGUGAUUGGAACUCCAGGUGUAGCAGUGAAAUGCGUAGAUAUCAAGUGGAACACCAGUGGCGAAGGCGAGUCCCUGGACAACUCCUGACACUGAGGCACGAAAGCCAGGGGAGCAAACAGG